rnacentral:piRNA from 1 species
UGAAACCAACUGUUAAUUAAC